rnacentral:rRNA from 1 species
GCUUGCUUCUCUGAUGUUAGCGGCGGACGGGUGAGUAACACGUGGAUAACCUACCUAUAAGACUGGGAUAACUUCGGGAAACCGGAGCUAAUACCGGAUAAUAUUUUGAACCGCAUGGUUCAAAAGUAAAAGACGGUCUUGCUGUCACUUAUAGCAUGGAUCCGCGCUGCAUUAGCUAGUUGGUAAGGUAACGGCUUACCAAGGCAACGAUGCAUAGCCGACCUGAGAGGGUGAUCGGCCACACUGGAACUGAGACACGGUCCAGACUCCUACGGGAGGCAGCAGUAGGGAAUCUUCCGCAAUGGGCGAAAGCCUGACGGAGCAACGCCGCGUGAGUGAUGAAGGUCUUCGGAUCGUAAAACUCUGUUAUUAGGGAAGAACAUAUGUGUAAGUAACUGUGCACAUCUUGACGGUACCUAAUCAGAAAGCCACGGCUAACUACGUGCCAGCAGCCGCGGUAAUACGUAGGUGGCAAGCGUUAUCCGGAAUUAUUGGGCGUAAAGCGCGCGUAGGCGGUUUUUUAAGUCUGAUGUGAAAGCCCACGGCUCAACCGUGGAGGGUCAUUGGAAACUGGAAAACUUGAGUGCAGAAGAGGAAAGUGGAAUUCCAUGUGUAGCGGUGAAAUGCGCAGAGAUAUGGAGGAACACCAGUGGCGAAGGCGACUUUCUGGUCUGUAACUGACGCUGAUGUGCGAAAGCGUGGGGAUCAAACAGGAUUAGAUACCCUGGUAGUCCACGCCGUAAACGAUGAGUGCUAAGUGUUAGGGGGUUUCCGCCCCUUAGUGCUGCAGCUAACGCAUUAAGCACUCCGCCUGGGGAGUACGACCGCAAGGUUG